GACAGAGGGUGCAAACGUUGUUCGGAAUUACUGGGCGUAAAGCGUGCGCAGGCGGUUCGUUAUGUCCGAUGUGAAAGCCCCGAGCUUAACUUGGGAAUGGCAUUGGAAACUGGCGGGCUGGAGUGCGGCAGAGGGGGGUGGAAUUCCACGUGUAGCAGUGAAAUGCGUAGAGAUGUGGAGGAACACCGAUGGCGAAGGCAGCCCCCUGGGCCGACACUGACGCUCAGGCACGAAAGCGUGGGGAGCAAACAGG
rnacentral:rRNA from 1 species